rnacentral:rRNA from 1 species
CAAUAGCGUAUAUUAAAGUUGUUGCAGUUAAAAAGCUCGUAGUUGGAUUUGUGGCGUACGGUGUGUUCCGGGCACUUGUUGUCUGAGUAACCUGCUGUUGCCAUCCUUGGGUGGAACCUGUGUGGCAUUAGGUUGUCGUGCAGGGGACGCCCAUCAUUUACUGUGAAAAAAUUAGAGUGUUCAAAGCAGGCUUAUGCCGUUGAAUAUAUUAGCAUGGAAUAAUGAGAUAGGACUUUUUUGCUAUUUUGUUGGUUUGCGCAAGAAGGUAAUGAUUAAUAGGGACAGUUGGGGGUAUUCGUAUUCCAUUGUCAGAGGUGAAAUUCUUGGAUUUUUGGAAGACGAACUACUGCGAAAGCAUUUACCAAGGAUGUUUUCAUUAA